rnacentral:rRNA from 1 species
AUGCAAGUCGAACGGACCGUAUACGCAGCUUGCUGCGUGUAUGGUUAGUGGCAGACGGGUGAGUAAUGCAUAGGAAUCUACCUAGUAGUAUGGGAUAGCCACUAGAAAUGGUGGGUAAUACUGUAUAAUCCCUGCGGGGGAAAGAUUUAUCGCUAUUAGAUGAGCCUAUGUCAGAUUAGCUAGUUGGUGGGGUAAUGGCCUACCAAGGCGGUGAUCUGUAGCUGGUCUGAGAGGAUGAUCAGCCACACUGGAACUGAGACACGGUCCAGACUCCUACGGGAGGCAGCAGUGGGGAAUAUUGGACAAUGGGCGCAAGCCUGAUCCAGCUAUGCCGCGUGAGUGAGGAAGGCCUUAGGGUUGUAAAACUCUUUCAGUAGGGAA